AACUACAUAUUGUCUACCAGUUGAUGUGAUUGGUGCAUCUAUGAUCUUUAUGAUGUGUAUCAGUGGAACCCAACGGAUAUCUUCUCUUCUGGGCCAACUGUAAGACUUUGCAGGACCAUGAGGGUGCAUAAAUUGUACUUGCCCACCUGUUCCUCCUCCGAUAUUGCACAGAUAUUACCAAUCCACCAUUGCUGGUCAUACAAACAUGCAACAUAUUUUCCUGGGAUCAUGUCUGACAGGGUGUAACCUUUCACAGCAUCAUCUACAACCUGGGGAUGAGUGCCACUCAUGUCCACAAUGAAGCUUGGUCCACCAGACACUCUGCUGAUCUGCAACUGGCUCUCUGAGAUGGGAACAAAUGAGUGGUUGUCCCUUGUUCCUGAGAUCUCGUGGUGUCAGUAUGUGUUGUGAAGUAACUGCCUGUAAGCUGGCUCUAGCUGCAGAACGCUUCACGGUGCUACCUAUCCUGUCACAAGACUGCAUCCCGGUAGCUGUGUGAGGUGAACUGGAGGAUAAUCGCUUGAGGUUUGGAGUCGUCUUUCCAUUGGCUGACCGAGCCGAUGUACUGUGUUGAUCACCUCAGGAAACUUGGCCUGGUACUCGGCUUACACAUAAGAGGAAAUAUUCACCCAUGUGGAACAUUUUGAAAUGGUUCCUCCCAAUGAGGUGAAGUGCUUGCUGUGCCAGAAGGAACGAGUGUAGAACAAGAAUAUAUCAUCAGUGCUGAGGCAUUAUAGAGCUUUUCAUGAGAAUCAGCAGCCUGCCAACAGACCAGACACAAGCGACAAUUCCAGAAAAACAAAUGAUGGAUGAGGCCUUGGUUAAUAUGAUAAUUCCAGACACCCAGCCAUUGUCAGUGGUGGAAGAUGUGGGUUUGAUGGAGCUCAUGCACAUACUGGAACCCACUGAUCUUCUCCCUACUAGGAAGAUGUCAGAAUGUAGUGACAGUCAGCCUCACCUCUGAUAUCUGGACAUCCAUGAAUAUGGAGACUUACCUUCCAGUAACCUGCCACUUCAUUGAUGACAAUGACAGACUUGGAACAAUUUUGCUUGGAGCAGAACAUUUUCCAAGUCGUCACACAGCAGAAAAUAUGGCUCUGGCAAAAGCAAAAUUGAUGGAGGAGUGGGACAUAAAAGAAAAGGUGAAGUGUCUCAUCACUGAUGCUGCACCAAAUAUGAUAAGCUUGUGCCAAGGCAUUGCCUGUGAGACAUUCUGUUUGCAUCACACACACUUAAUUUAAUAGUGCAAAAGUCAUUUGACCAUGUCCCAGCCCUUAAAGGUGGAGUAUGAGAUUUUUUUCAGGAGUAUUUUUUUACCAUAUUGCUUGAAAAGCUCCUCACACCCAUGUUGCAAGCAGUACAAUAGAAGGUUUGACCCAAAAACGAAAUAUUUUAAUCCAGUCUACAGUGUAAAAGGAAAAAUGCCAUCCAAUCAUAUCGAGGUACCACCUCAAAAUGAUUGGAUACUGACACGUCAAUCAGACUGAAGCCCGAGCAGCCCGGCCCUUCUGUGUGUGUGUGUGUGUGUGUGUGUGUGUGUGUGUGUGUGUGUGUGUGAGAGAGAGAGAGAGAGCAGUGUCACACAAAAAGCACAGGAUUCUCUCAGUGCGCUUCCUCCAAACAACGGGGAUUUACACGAAAACGGAAGGAGAUAUUCACAAAAUUCUUUCACAGUGAGUGCCACAAGGCUUCCCUGAACACACUGAUGUAAUUUUUUUUGUCUGUAGUGUAAAAAAUGAGGUCACGAGAGCGAGUUAAAAACGAGUGACUUUUCUGGCAAGUUUUAUAAUGGAAGUCUAUGAGCUGGGCGGCUGUGCUCUCCUCACCUUCAGGCUUCUCAUUCAAAAACUGCAAGUCCUAUCGUGUAGGUAGACACAUUGUGUGAAUCAGGACAAGUGUGGCUGCUACUUUUGAGAAAAUUGUGUGUGGAGUGAAAAUUGGGGCUGAAAACACAGUUUAAAUGAGAAAGUUUGAGCUAUUUUUCCAAGCUCUCUACACUCUGCUCUAAGGGGGAGGAGGGGUGGAGAC